AUUUUAGAUGUGUUUGUAUCCCACCCCCAACCCCUAGGCCUCUACACCCACGACUGACCCUCAGAGUAUCUGUGCGAGAUUUUAAGACCAGUGAUGGUGAGGAGCGCAGUGCUAGAGACACUUGCCUAGCAUGCAUGAGUUCAAGUCUCAGUCCUGAAAACACAAAAAGAGAAAAGUUAAGAUAAAUGUAGGUUUUGCUAACACAGGCAUCACCCUUGAACUUGUUAUCUGCUGAGGUAUGGAGUUCCCUGCUUCACUCAAGGACACAAGAGAAUGCUGACUAACACAUGUGGAACCACACCAUUGAAGAGACUAUUAGGACCCUGAGUCCUCUUUCACUUUGUUUCCUGGUUGUUGUGAAGUGAAGAGCUUUCUUUUGCAACGUGCUCCACACCAUGACAUGCUGGCCUUGCCAGAAGUCCAUGAGCAGACCAUAAAGUAAAACCUUCAAAACUACAAGCCAAAAUAAUAAUUCUCUGGUUAUUCCUGGUUCUUUUCUCUUGUAUUUGUUACAGGGACAGAAACUGAAUCCAGUGAUAAACAUAAAUGGUUGGCCAGACCUACUAUUUACUCUUCUGUUUUCUGCUCUGCUUGAUGUUCUCAUCCCUCUGACUUCAUUGCCACCUAUGGGUUGUUUAAAUAUUUUAAAUGACUCCAUCUUAUAUAAAGUGCUUCUGAGUGUU
ensembl:antisense Gm9947 uncharacterized LOC110297208